UGUCCCCCCACACCCACCCAGCUUUAAUUCGCUGGCUUCAGGUUUCUCCCGCUGCAAAAUGAUGAGGUAAGUAACCGCCACAGGCUUUCCCACUCCUAAUCAUCAGAUUGCAAGAAGCCACCUGGUGUGGGGGAAAGACCCCCCAAUGCCGCUGAGUUGGAAAAACUGGAAGAAAAAUCCCCUGCGUCUCAGUUCCCAGCUCUGUGCCCGGGGACACCUGUCCUGUGUGAAAUGGGAUUCAUCACAAGAACACAUCUGUCAAACAGCUGGCACUCAACAAACUCCCCAGGGGGCGGCCGGAGUAACCCUUAGGAGUCUACCCUGCCUCCACUACUCUCCUGGCCCCAGUCCCCCCACUGCCUCACAAGAAGAGCGAUCUGGAGGUGACCAGAAGAAAAGCAAUCACUGCCUGCCCAGCAUUGCAUAACCUGCGCCGGGCACACGGUACACCCCAGGCUCAGCACAGGUCGUUAUCUCGCCAGAAACAAAGAGCUGAGUAUUCUGGAGAAAGGCCACCGUGAACAGGCCCACCGCAGCCCAGGAAGGCUGAGCAUCCCAGCAUGCGGGCUCAAGGGACUCCAACCACUCUGGCUCAACUAGAAAACACGGAGAUGACAGGAGGCAACCCGCACCCUGCCUGGCGCCUGCCCGGGGCUCUUAGAGCUGUCCCGGAGCGCGUGUACACGCAAAUCCAUGAAAGAACGGAAAGGAUUUCCGUGCAGCGAGGUUAAGUAAAGCUACUGAGCAAGAACAAUGGUCUCUGACUCUAUUAGGGAGGGCCAACGCCAGGUUAAGAAACCGAUUCAUUAAUCACAAAUAUUAGUUCUCGAACCAUUGCCAGGACACUGUGGCAAAGACAUCCUGCUGUGUCUGUUCAGAGCCAUUGCCAAAGCUCGGUCCUCUCCCCCACCUUCCGGUAUCUGUGAAGUUUUCAGUUCCUCCCGAGCUGCAGCUGGGGGAGGGGACCCAGGCCGGCCCUAGACGAGUAAA